rnacentral:rRNA from 1 species
UACAGAGGUCUCAAGCGUUGUUCGGAUUCAUUGGGCGUAAAGGGUGCGUAGGUGGUGAUGCAAGUCUGGUGUGAAAUCUCGGAGCUCAACUCCGAAAUUGCACCGGAUACUGCGUGACUCGAGGACUGUAGAGGAGAUCGGAAUUCACGGUGUAGCAGUGAAAUGCGUAGAUAUCGUGAGGAAGACCAGUUGCGAAGGCGGAUCUCUGGGCAGUUCCUGACACUGAGGCACGAAAGCGUGGGGAUCAAACAGG